GGUUGUGGCUCAGUGGUAGAGUGCUCACUGUGCAUGUGGGAGACCCUAGGUUCGAUCCUCAGCACCA
rnacentral:tRNA from 1 species